UCGGUUUGACGUACAGACCUAAAGCAUUUUAUAAAGCAGUCCCUUCAAGAGUUAUCCAUAGAUACCCUUCGUUGAGAGCUUUCCUUAUAUCGCUUAAAAAUCUGUAAAGCACGCCAUAGCGCCGGAAGGCAAACUUAAUUAAAAAGGUAUUCUCUAUGUCUGGUAAAAUGACUGGUCUGGUAAAAUGGUUCAACUCUGACAAAGGCUUCGGCUUCAUCACUCCUGACGAUGGCUCUAAAGAUGUGUUCGUACACUUCUCUGCUAUCCAGAACGAUGGCUACAAAUCUCUUGAUGAAGGUCAGAAAGUGUCCUUCACCAUCGAAAGCGGCGCUAAAGGCCCGUCUGCUGGUAACGUUGUAAGCCUGUAAUAGCUUCCGUUUAAAGCACGCUUUCUGAAAAAAACCCCGCAAUGCGGGGUUU
rnacentral:sRNA from 1 species